rnacentral:lncRNA from 1 species
CACUGAGAUGGGCAUUCUCUACCAGGUCCGCCUCCAACCUGUCAAUCAAAUGGUUUAUAAAGCCCUCGUAACAUCAACAGUUGCCACAAAGUGCUUUACAGUAACUUUACAGUAACCUGGACUAGGUACCGUCUCUGCCUCUCGCUCUCCAGCUCGUUCCUCAGCUCCUCCUCCCUCUCUCUCUCCAGUCUCAGUCGUUCGUUCUCCUUCCUCCUCUCCUCACUCUGUCUCUCUUCUUCCUCCAGCUGACUUCUCAGGGAGCCCACCAUCUCUCUCUCACUGACACACAAACAACAUCAACAUUAACGGCAACAACAAACAGCAGCAACAACACAAACAACAUCAACAGAAACAACAGCAACAGCACAAACAACAUCAACAACAACAUCAACAGAAACAACAGCAACGGAAACAACAGCAACAGCACAAACAACAUCAACAGAAACAACAGCAACAGCACAAACAACAUCAACAACAGCAAGAACAUCAACAGAAACAACAGCAAUGGAAACAACAGCAACGGAAACAACAGCCAAGGAAACAACAGCAAUAACAGCACAAACAUCAACAUCAACAGCAACGACAAACAUCAACAACAAACAGCAGCAUCAGCAACAACAAACAACAUCAGCAGCAACAACAAACAACAUCAGCAGCAACAACAAACAACAUCAGCAGCAACAACAAACAACAUCAGCAGCAACAACAAACAACAUCAGCAACAACAAACAACAUCAGCAGCAACAACAAACAACAUCAGCAGCAGCAUCAUCAACACAAAUAACAUCAACAAAAACAACAGCAACAGAAACAUCAACAACAGCAACACCACAAACAACAAACAUCAACAAAAACAACAGCAACAGUACAAACAACAAACAACAUCAACAAAAACAACAGCAACAGCACAAACAACAUCAACAACAACAGCAACACCACAAAUAACAUCAACAGAAACAACAGCAACAGCACAAACAACAAACAACAUCAACAAAAACAACAGCACAAACAACAAACAACAGCACAAACAACAUCAACAGAAACAACAGCAACACCACAAACAACAAACAACAUCAACAGAAACAACAGCAACAGCACAAACAACAAACAACAUCAACAAAAACAACAGCAACACCACAAACAACAAACAACAUCAACAAAAACAACAGCACAAACAACAAACAACAUCAACAAAAACAACAGCAACAGCACAAACAACAAACAACAUCAACAAAAACAACAGCACAAACAACAUCAACAGAAACAACAGCAACAGCAACAGCACAAACAACAAACAACAUCAACAAAAACAACAGCACAAACAACAUCAACAGAAACAACAGCAACAGAAACAUCAACAACAGCAACACCACAAACAACAAACAUCAACAGAAACAACAGCACAAACAACAUCAACAGAAACAGCAAACCUCAACAACAGCAACACAAAAAACAUCAACAACAAUCAACAGCAACACCAACAACAAAAGCAACAGCAGAAACAAUAGAGACAACAUCAACAGAAACAGCAACAUCAACAACAUCAACAGAAACAGCAAUAUCAACAACAUCAACAGAAACAGCAAUAUCAACAACAGAAACAUAGAUGGGUGAAUCUCCAGUGAUUUCCAGUCAGUGACGUCAGUGGUGAGUAACAUGUCCUGUGUGUCCGACCUGAGUAACAUGUCCUACCUGAGUAACAUGUCCUGAGUGUCCUACCUGAGUAACAUGUCCUGUAUGUCCUACCUGAGUAACAUGUCCUGUGUGUCCAACCUGAGUAACAUGUCCUACCUGAGUAACAUGUCCUGUGUGUCCUACCUGAGUAACAUGUCCAGUGUGUCCGACCUGAGUAACAUGUCCUACCGGAGUAAAUGUCCUGUGUGCCUACCUGAGUAAACAUGU